rnacentral:rRNA from 1 species
GACAGAGGUGGCAAGCGUUGUUCGGAUUCAUUGGGUGUAAAGGGCAGGUAGGUGGUUUUAUAAGUCCGGCGUGAAAUCCCAGAGCUCAACUCUGGAACUGCGUUGGAAACUAUAUGACUUGAGUAUCGGAGAGGUUAGGGGAAUUCUCGGUGUAAGGGUGAAAUGUGUAGAGAUCGGGAGGAACACCAGUGGCGAAGGCGCCUAACUGGCCGAUUACUGACACUGAGAUGCGAAAGCGAGGGGAGCAAACAGG